rnacentral:rRNA from 1 species
CUGGCUCAGGAUGAACGCUAGCUACAGGCUUAACACAUGCAAGUCGAGGGGCAGCAUGAAGAUGUGCUUGCACAACUUUGAUGGCGACCGGCGCACGGGUGAGUAACGCGUAUCCAACCUUCCCUAUAGUAGAGAAUAGCCCGGCGAAAGUCGGAUUAAUGCUCUAUGUUCUUCUUUGAUGGCAUCUGGGGAGAAGCAAAGGUUCACCGCUAUAGGAUGGGGAUGCGUCUGAUUAGGUAGUCGGCGGGGUAACGGCCCACCGAGCCAACGAUCAGUAGGGGUUCUGAGAGGAAGGUCCCCCACAUUGGUACUGAGACACGGACCAAACUCCUACGGGAGGCAGCAGUGAGGAAUAUUGGUCAAUGGGCGAGAGCCUGAACCAGCCAAGUAGCGUGCAGGACGACUGCCCUAUGGGUUGUAAACUGCUUUUAUGCGGGAAUAAAGUCCACUACGUGUAGUGGUUUGUAUGUACCGCAUGAAUAAGGACCGGCUAAUUCCGUGCCAGCCGCCGC